rnacentral:lncRNA from 1 species
AUGCUUCAAGAAACGUUGAUUUAUCGUAACCUCACUUUAUGAUAUAAUUAGCAACCUCCUGAUGGGCGAUGGGGGUGUGACUGCUCUUUAUUUGACUGCGGGUUUUAUGUGAGAUGUGUGGUUUAAUGGAAUUAAUCUAAACCACACAUCAUAUUACAUCUACAAACUAAGAGAUGAAAUGGUUUCAUCAUUUCACAAGGAGAUACUAUACACAAAAUCAGCUGCACAUAACGAAAAAUGCAUUUUGGGUGCAUUAGUGAGUUAACAAACCGUGAAGCAUAUUGCGCACCUCAUCCAGUUAAUACAGCUUAUGUCUUUAUGUUUGCUUAUUCAUUGUUAACAAUUGCCUAACGAUUACAAAACCUCCUACUUUUUAAAGUCAUUUAUUGGGUAUUUGAUGUUAGUCAAGAGUUCGUUCGAUGUGUUUGAAUUGUUCCUGUAACAUAAAAAGUACCCACAACGAAGUUAAAAGGUUCAUUUGAUGUCAUAUGU